GACGAACGCUGGCGGCGUGCUUAACACAUGCAAGUCGAGCGGUAAGGCCCUUUCGGGGGUACACGAGCGGCGAACGGGUGAGUAACACGUGGGUGACCUGCCCUCAGCUCUGGGAUAAGCCUGGGAAACUGGGUCUAAUACCGGAUAUGACUCCAUGACGCAUGUUGUGGGGUGGAAAGCCUUGUGCGGCUGAGGAUGGGCCCGCGGCCUAUCAGCUUGUU
rnacentral:rRNA from 1 species